rnacentral:lncRNA from 1 species
AUAUCAUGUGGUAUUUGUCUUUCUCUUUCUGACUUCACUUAGUAUGAGAGUCUCUAGUUUCAUCCAUGUUGCUGCAAAUGGCAUUAUUUUGUUUUUUUAUGGCUGAGUAAUAUUCCAUUAUGUAUACAUACCACCUCUUUUUAAUCCAUUCAUCUGUUGAUGGACAUUUAGUUUGUUUCCAUGCCAUGGCUAUUGUGAAUAGUGCUACAAUGAACUUAUAAGUGCAUGUGUCUUUUUCAAGGGAAGUUUUGUCUGGAUAUACAUCCAAGAGUGGGAUUGCUGGGUCAUAUGAUAAUUCUAUAUUUAGUUUUCUGAGGUUUGGAAAUUUAUACCAUGAGUAUAAUGCCUGAAUAUUCAAUAAGGCAUCUCUGAAUGACUGUGCUUUCCUAAGGAAUAAAAUUCUCGUCCUUAAGAAACUGAAUAUAAUAAAUUAUACUCUAAUUUUCAGCCUGAAUAUGCCUUAUAAUGUCAAGUUUUACCUGUUGCUUAUUACUCUGGAUCUCACAGUAUGAGCUACAAUUUAUUUAUUGUCUUCCUUGCUAAGAUUUUCAUGUAUGUUAGUCUUCCUUUCCUCCAAAGAGGAAAUGUUCUUCAAAGACACAAACCGUAUGUCCUGAGUCCUUAAGAAGCCUCUAUAAAUGUAUGAUCAGUUAAAAGUAGACUCCGUUUCAUUUGAACCAAAGCUGUAUCUGUGUUUUUGUCUGGGAUACGUCUUAAUCAUCCUUUCAGCCUAAUGAUAUAGAGGCUAAGUCACUGAAGCAAGUAUCUUCAGGAUUAAGCAUCACAUAGGCUCUUUUUCUUCUGGAUUUAUGUUAAUUAUUUUGACUUUUAUCUCUCAAGAAAAGGAUUUUACUGUAUUAAACAAUAACUAAUUCUAAAAAUAAUUCUUAUUCUCCCUUGAAAAGGAAUGAGUGUAUAUUGUUCUUCUUAAUCCUUAUUUCAUUAUUAUUAUGACAAAAAAAUGACAUGUUGAUUUCUAACAGCUUUCUAACACAAUGGCUUCUGAUCUUUAGUCACGGACUCUACAAGUUAUGUGAAAGGGUUGCAGAAUGAUUUUAAGAGAUGCCCAGAACAGCUGUAGAUUUGAGGCUGCGAGCAGAAACAAUGGCUGGUAUCAUAGAGCCCAUAGUUUUUCUUGCGCCUUGCUCCAGACAGAAUAAUAGAGGCCACUUCACACUUAUAAAAUGUGGAACUAUGUCUAGUCACUUAUGAUGGAGCUUGAUAAUGUGGGAAAAAAGAAUGUAUACAUGUAUGUGUAACUGGAUCAUCAUGCUGUACAGUAGGAAAAAAAAAUUCCCACCAAACAUAAAUAAAUAAAUAAAAUGUGGUCAUUUCAGAAUGCGUCCAGAUACUGAAAAGGCCAUAUCUGUGCAUCCACAUGGCUACAUUAAAGAAAUUCAAAAUGAUUCCUUAAUCUCUCUUCAGAUCUUUAAAUAUGCUAUUAUUUCACAUUCCAUAGAUAUUCUCCAAUGAACAGUGGUUAUAGUCAUGGAGGUGGUUGUUUGGGGACACAGCAAGAAUGUAAGCUAUCUAUUUCAUUGACCAUGAAUAAAUAAAUGCAUAAGCAAAUAAUAAAAUAGGAGCAAAGGUUGUGUCGUUCUGGUCCUGUCAGCUAUAAUAGUGGCUUCAGUGUGGCAGAAGCACCAGCAUUCUGGUUGUCUCUAGUACAGUAUGGACAUGAGUGUGUCCUGAGCUCUGCAAAGAUUCUGUGAACUGUAUACAUCCUUUAAUUAAUCUCAUUCUGCUUAAUCUAGCAGUUUCCAUGAUCUACCAUGAAGAAUCCUAAAUAACAUACCAUUUAAU